rnacentral:lncRNA from 1 species
GACGAUGUACACGCAAAUCGUAAUGAUCAUGAUGAAGGACAAUGAGAGAACAUUGUUAUGUAACUAAUUCUUAUCAAUGACAUGUAAUAACCUUAUGCCUUUUGUGUUUUGUAGAUAUUAAUGUUCAUAUAUUUCCUUUUAAGUAAGUUUAUAAAAUUAGUAUGUUGUUGUUUAUAACAUACUUCUUUUUCUUUGACAGGUUCAUGGCAACCCCACCAGCGUCCCCUCCGCAGUCAAAUAUUCAGUCACCAACAAAGUCUAGGAUUACUAGAAAAUCAACACGGCUACGGAGGUUGACUGUACGAGCAUUGGAUCAGCCAAAACCAACUGUUUACGUGGAAGCCGCAACUGGCCGAGG